UACGUAGGGUGCGAGCGUUAAUCGGAAUUACUGGGCGUAAAGCGUGCGCAGGCGGUUUUGUAAGCCAGAUGUGAAAUCCCCGGGCUUAACCUGGGAAUGGCAUUUGGGACUGCAAGGCUCGAGUGCGGCAGAGGAGACUGGAAUUCCUGGUAUAGCAGUGAAAUGCGUAGAUAUCAGGAGGAACACCGAUGGCGAAGGCAGGUCUCUGGGCUGACACUGACGCUCAUGCACGAAAGCGUGGGGAGCAAACAGG
rnacentral:rRNA from 1 species